GCCGUGGAACAGUUCGUCAAUACGUGUGACGGCCGUCCGCGGCGCCUACCGGACGUCAUGUGCGUACGGUUCGGCUCGAGAGAGGUCAGCCACCAAAUCCUCCUGACUAGGUCGUUCUUGAAGCCCGCCGCCACCGCGAAAGGCUUGCCCAGAUCCAGCGCGGUACGGCGAGCUUAGGGAGCCCCGGCCGGUGAGCGAUGGAAGAUGCUAGGCUCGAGUUCCUGCUUGAUGCAGUGGGCAGGAUUCCGCUCCGUGAAGCGUUCGCGGACAGUGUAGAUCAUCCUGAUCCGGUCCCUCUGGCGGUGCUCCCGCGAGCUGAUGUCGCCCCUACUGCUCAGGUGGACUCAAAUGGCUGCUUAGGUUGCGGGCAAAACUGUUGGGUGCGCAGUCGCGGGGGAGCCGCAGGCAAUCAAUGGCGACAAGGUCUGCUCAAUCAACGGACAGGGUGAACCCGAGGCUCCGGCUUAGGCAAAAAGUUCAGAAGUUACUAAACUACAAGACUAUUCAGCGCUGGCACAAGAGGUGGUGAGGAAUAGCGACUACGACGAGCAAAGACGCGGUGCAGCCGGCAACAACGACUGUCGCCUGCUCUCUGGUAAGGCCUCCAUCUUUUAUCUCUUUUUGUGUCACUUUGAACUAUACACAAGUGCAAACUAGUUCGGCUCAAGAAAAGUAUAAACAAGACACAACCCUCUUAACAAUGCCUUGCUGCUGUAAGUAGCUGAAGCCUUCCUGGCACUUGAUUCAGCAGAUUCUCAAUUUCUCGUCAGUUGUUUUCUUCUUUCUUGUAUCACCGCCCUCCCGCGUGCAACGGAAGACGACGAACAGUUUGAUGGUUUUUUUUUGUCUUUCUCAGCUGUUGUUAUAUCUUAAUUAGGAAUUCACUUUUCAUUUAGCGUUAAUAUGGAUACGAGAGUGGAUCAAACUAGGAGUAAUCUGCUGCUUCUUAAUGUUGGAUAAUUGGAUCGAGAUUCACCCUCUCUAAUCAUUAUUAGCUUGCCAUAUUCUUGAACCUCAACAAGUCAUGAAGAAUCCCAUACUUCUUUCCAGUUUAAUAUUGGCAAUUCACCCUUGUUGUUUGCAUAUCGCUAAUCCGUUGCGGAAUUAUCAAAUUGUCUAAAUUUUCUCUUCCAGUACAAUGUUUCCUUUUUGUUUCCAACUUUAUGAAUUCAUAGUAACUUUACUGAUUUGGAUGAGCUGAGGAUGAAAGAAGAGAUCAGUGCUGCCACAUGGUGCUUCCCAUUCGAGCAAUUGCGGUGUGUAGAAAUGCUUUAUGACUUGCAUUCCAGCCGAUGAACUAUGGUUGUAUUGUCGCAUUAGGCCACAUUUUUGUCCUGUCAGAUAUCAGUGUAUUUUUAUUUAUAUUUGCAAUUAUUUCACUCUUUUUUCUCAAUUUAUAUUUGGUCUAUAUGGACCACGGACAAUCAGUUUGGAUGCUUAUACGCCAUCAGUUUGGAUGGCAAAACAGCACAAAACGUGAUUGUGCUUAAAGUUUUCGUUGUCA